rnacentral:misc_RNA from 1 species
GUAAACCUUUUUCCAAAAACAACUAAGUGCACAAUAAGUUUGCCAAUUAGUACAGAUCACUUCUCAUAACACGUAAGUACUCAAAAUUAAUAGAUGUCCUAUCUACUAAACUUGCCAAUUUAAAUAACAAAAAAAACCAAAAUAGAUCAACGCUUUCCGCCGCCACCACCGAGCUUUGGACCCUUGGAUGCAGGUCCCUUGGCAACAUUACCCUUACCUGGCGCCUUCUGUGACUUGGCCAACACUUCUGCCUUCUUGGCCUUCUUCUCGUCCUUGGUUUUCUUAAUCCUUUCCUUAAUUUCCCGCAGAGCAGCUUCUCUAGCAGCAUCACGCACUUCUGGCUUUUCAGCUCUCUUUUUCUGGAUUACUUCCAAAGUUGCACCAACAAUGGACCUAGAGUAGGGCUUCCUGGUGGUACGUCUCCUCUUCUUCACAGCCUCUUGAGCAAUAUCCUUCUUAUGCUGCUUCCUGUACAUGGCUGUCCA